AUUGAACGCUGGCGGCAGGCCUAACACAUGCAAGUCGAACGAGUGGCGGACGGGUGAGUAAUGUCUGGGAAACUGCCCGAUGGAGGGGGAUAACUACUGGAAACGGUAGCUAAUAACGCAUACCAUCGGAUGUGCCCCGAUGGGAUUAGCUAGUAGGUGGGGUAACGGCUCACCUAGGCGACGAUCCCUAGCUGGUCUGAGAGGAUGACCAGCCACACGGGAACUGAGACACGGCCCAGACUCCUACGGGAGGCAGCAGUGGGGAAUAUUGGGCAAUGGGCGCAAGCCUGAGGGAGCCACGCCGCGUGUAUGAAGAAGGUCUUCGGGUCGUAAAGUUCUUUCAGCGGGGAGGCGUUACCUGCAGAGAAAGCAACGGCUAACUCCGUGCCAGCAGCCGCGGUAAUUC
rnacentral:rRNA from 1 species